rnacentral:tRNA from 1 species
UAUUAAAUAUCUUAUAUUAAAGAAUUGAAUUUUUAAUUCAAAGAUAGUUUUAACACUUUUAAUAA